rnacentral:rRNA from 1 species
UACGUAGGGGGCAAGCGUUGUCCGGAAUCAUUGGGCGUAAAGCGCGCGUAGGCGGCCUCAUAAGUCCGUUGUGAAAGUCAAAGGCUCAACCUUUGAAAGCCGAUGGAUACUGUGAGGCUAGAGUCCGGAAGAGGCGAGUGGAAUUCCUGGUGUAGCGGUGGAAUGCGCAGAUAUCAGGAGGAACACCGGUGGCGAAGGCGGGUCUCUGGGCAGUAACUGACGCUGAGGAGCGAAAGCGUGGGGAGCGAACAGG